UCCUGGUGAUACUAAGGAAAAUACUAAUAAAAUACUGCUAUAAUGUGCUGCAUCGUUCUUAAUCACCUUUAACAAAAAGACUUGUCUGCCAUGAUGGUACUCCAACUUAGUUUCUGAGAACAGAGAUCUGUCUUAAAUAUUCAAUGUUUAUUUCAUAUUGGCUAGAGAUUGAGACUGUGUGAUGUCUAAAGAGAUUUUAAAAGAAAACGGUCUAUGUCUUAAGUAUGUACCCCCUAUUUUGGCAUUUUCCUUGGAGACUGACUAAAGUUUCUAAUUGCUUAAUUGCUAUUAGGAUGAUUGACUAUUAUUUAUUGAAUUGACAUCCUGCUGAGUUAGUAUGGAGCCCAAGUUCUAUUUAAGUUACAUGUUAAGGACUACUUUUCAGAAUUUUGAGGCUAGUAUAUAAUAAUUGUAAGAACUAAAUACUUACCCCAUGCCUGCCUAUGAACAGAAUAGCUAUAAAUGAGAAAGUGGUCCCAAAACAAAUGCCAGUGAGUUUUAGAGUAAUACUGAAAGCCAGUGAAAUAUUGUGGAGAUGUACUGAAGCAAAAUGUCAAUUUGGCAGACAGGAUGCUCUAAUGUAGAAACUAGAUUUUUGUAGCAUUGUAGUGAUGGAAUCUAUGAGCUUGGUUUUUAAUCCAUUCUCAGUAGACUCUCAGUCGCUUGGAAUUUUUCUUCCAUUUCUUGUAACACUUCCUAAAAGAAAAGAAGACAAUAGUAGACCUGCUUUUAUUAUUUUAAUGUCUCCACUCGCCUUCCAAAAAUUUCAUGUCCUCAGAACAUGGCUUCCACUGGGACACUUGAAGUCAAACAGCUUCUGGAUUUACCGAUACAGGCUACUUACUACUAGGAAUUUGAGGAAUUCUUGGGAGGUGUCUCACCAGGAACCCAAGAAAUGGAACUUUAGGUGUGGUUAGCAAAUGACUUGGAACUGCUUUAGGAGACCUCCUUGGAGACAGAAAAAUGUUUUCUAUAGGUCUAGUGGGGUCCAAGCCACACAGUACUUUCCUUUCCAUAGUGGACUUCCUCGCUGCUCAAGAAUGAGUGUAUGGCAGGAUGGAGAGUGGCUGGAGGUCAUGUGUCAAGUUCCUAACUGUGAGUGGGUAGAAACUGCUCUUGCAUUCUUACAGAAAACCAUUGAAGUGAGUCCUCCUCUAGGGGGCAGUAGAGUCUGUUAUAGGCUCAAAAUUGCCUGGCUCAAGUUCCUGAGGGAAGGAUUGAUUAGGAAGAAUGAUUAAACCGUCUUAGACUUCAGAAUACAUUAAGCAGACAUCAACUUUACAAUAGUUGCUCAGAAUCUCCCUGAAUUUUUGUGGUUAGUGAAGUUAACUGGGGCUGCUGUGGGCCAAGAGCUUCCCUGCAGGAGCAUUACAGAUGAAAGAGCCUAAACCCCAGAUCUAGGGAGGACUUGAAGAAGAAGCGAUGAGGCAAGGCUGACUCAGCCUCUCUAAGUGGGUUGCUUUAUUUAAAGUGAGGUUUCUGACCCUGAGGCACCCUUGUCAGGGGUGUGCCAAGUUGGGAAGGGUCCUCCUUGUUUAACAGCAAUAUAAUUUUUCAGCUACCCAAUUCCCUAUAUUUUAUAGUACCUAGAAUAGGAGAAAAAAUUUUCUGGACCAUUUCUGAUUACCCAAAACUUUGGUGGGUUGGUUUGGUCCCAUACUGCUUCAAUUAUGUUGGUGCAGGUCAUCUAGGGGUCAAGUGCCCAUGUAAUAGAAACAAUUCUCGGUGCACCUGGGUGGCUCAGUUGGUUAAGUGUCUGACUUUUGAUUUCGGCUCAGGUCAUGAUCUCAGGGUUGUGAGAUCAAGCCCUGCAUCAGGCUCUGUGCUGGGCAUGGAGCCUGCUUAAGAUUCUCUCUCCCCCUUUCCCUCUGCCCCUGCCCCAUUCCCGCUCGUGCAUGCAUGCACUCUCUCUCUCUUUCAAAAAAAAAAAAAAGAAGAAGAAGAAUUCUAUAAAAUCACCUCAUCCUGAUGUUACUGAAAAUGAAUAUCCUGGGUGGGCAUUAAAAUCCUACUGCUGAUGCAUUUCCUUUACAGGUUUAUAGGAGAAACUUAGAUGGACGUGGGCGUAGUACGCUUUCCACUGUACAUGGUGGGGGCCCGUGUGACCCAAGAGAAGAAGAGAAGCAUGUCGGAGUGUGAUGCGUGGCAGUGGUGAGUUGUACAAAUACAUACGGUAUUCUCCUCGUGGUAGUGUGAAUAAAGAUCCAAUGGGGCCAAAGGUAACAGAGAAAAUAGAAAAUUACUUCGCAAAUAUCCGUAGUCUCCCUCAACCCUUUGUUUUCUUCCAAGCAGAAAAAAGUCUUUCUGGUUGGAUCUCAUUUUCUAAGCAGAGUUUGAGUGAUGGGAUGAUGAUUCUUACGAGAAAAGCAGUCGAAGCCCAGGGCAAGAGUAAACUUAGAGGGAAAGUCAUGCAGCAGGGAGAGCAUCUGUAGGCAGCCCUAGCUGUUGGGGAGAGACUGGUAGGAGGGUCCCUCCUCUAUAAGGAGGCAGAUGAGAGAGAGGGUGGCAGAGGGAAGAUCACGUUGAGGGGCCGAGCUAAGUUUAUAAAGAGUUGAGAAGUAAGAAAAUGAUCCAUUAAAAAGAAUGUUAAGUCAUGUGGCUUGUAUUAACAACACACGAUCCGUUUGUAGGCAUUUUACCCCACCAAGAGACUUCGUAAAGAUUCCAACUGCUUUUAUUUACUAUUUGAAAAUAGGCCAUUUGGGGACAGGGACUCAAUUAUAUUUAGAUUCUAAUUCAAUAGCCUAUCGAUUUGGAAUACUAUUAUCUACUUAUUAGCCUAAAUUACUUCUUCUAGUUCAUUCUUCACUUUAUAUUUUGAUAAUACACUUUCCUAAGUAGCAAUAAAUCUGAGAAAUAUUUUAGAAAUGUAUUUUUAAAUCAAUAAAAAAAUAAAGUCCUAGCCGGGUAUUACCAGGCCUCCUGCCAAGUACAGUAAUUGUUACUUGUGGAAUUUUCUUAGAAUGGCCAAGGCAUUUGACUCAAUAAGUAUAACUCUGGAACGAGUAGUUGGGUGGAGACAUUCGUCUGUUGGAAAGUUGGUGGGUAGGUCAAGCCCAUAUGCUGGAAGAAGAGAUUUAUGGAUGGAUUCACUCAGCACAUCCAAGAAACGGGGUAUAUGUUUUCUUCAAAUUGAAUAUUGAAUUUCGCUCGCCUGUGCUCUUGAUUCUCCCUUUCUCUUAACCAUUUCUCUGCCUUUUUUCCUCUACUCUUGUUGUUGUUGUUGUUCUUUAUACUGUAGCAGUACACUGCCUAUUAAAUUAUACUCUUUUGGAUAUGUAAGUACAAAGACCACCCUUAGGUCAUGUUAAGAAAGGGCGGUCAGUUAUUUAAGAACACACAUGCAGUGGAAAGAAGCCCCAUGCUGUGAGGAACUGAGGCAGUGACAGGGACCCUGGGGCCACAGCAUCACUGAUCAACCAAGCACCACCGAAUACAUGGUUCUCAGCCCCAGUGUCCAGAUCCAGGCGUUGACAUUUUUCUCUCUGAAUUUCCUUGCUGUUCUUUCCAGUUUGGCCGUGUGUGGAGCAAACCUGAAGAAAUGCAGAAUACAGGUGUAAGCAACUAAAUCGCAAAUGGUAUAUCCUGAGUGCCAAAUGUAACUUAAAAAAAAAAAAUUCCUUUGCAAAUGGGCUGGUUUAUCUCUGAAGUGUUAGUUAGGAUGUACCCAAACGUAGAGAACAAUUAAAGAAUAAUUUUAAAUUUUAAAGAGUUCUUCACGGUUGUACCUUUGUGAGGUUCUGAACAUGAUUACAGUACAUUUUGUUUCCUCCCCCUGUUUAUUUCAAUCCAUUGAACAUAUCUGUCAACAAUUCACUGUUGCUUUUAAAAGUCAAACCAUUAACCUAAACAAUGAAAAAGUAUAAAGUUUUUCUCUUGUUUGAUUAGUCCAUACUUUAAAAAUCCUAAACCACGAGAUGUGGUUGUGCACAUCUCAGGGGAGACUUCGCGAGUGUGGCUCCAUGUGCAAGGGGCUGUUUAGGGACUUCAGCAGGCCUCAUCCAUUCUAUUUUUCCCUUGCACGUAAGUCACCUUAAUAUCCAUUAUGUUGGAAAAUUACUAUACUAUUAUUUGGCUUCUUUGUCCAUUAAUGUAAAUAGAAAGAUCCCACAUUUUCUAAGAAACAGGUAAACCAACCAAACAAGAAGUGCUCAAGGAGAUAAUAGUCCUCCCUUCCAUCUGUAGUAUCUGAAAUAUUUCCAUGCCUCUUCCCCUAAGACAUGAAGCCUAACCUUCAAAACUACUUUAAAUAAAUUUAAACAUGAUUUAAAAGGAUAUUCGGAGAACUUUUCAGUCCACGAAUCCCUCGAAGUUGACUUGCUUUGCUUAGAAUUCAGCCCUAGACCACAUCGAGGAGGAAGCGUAAGAAGUAGGAUAGGCCCAACAGAAUGGCAGCUAGCUGGGAAAAACAUGGUGCUUAAGCUGAUGCUAGACUCAGAACGGAGCUUAUUAACAUUGUGUAACUGUGAAGAAUCCAAGAACUACAUUUAUUACGAAUCCAAGAAUAAAUGAAGUCAUUUGUUUCAGGCGCGUUAGAAUUUUGCUUUGGGAUUUUAUGGGGGAUGUCGUUCCCCAUGGCAAGACUUCCUGAACUGCUAAGGUAGGAAAGCUCACAUCUGCACCUCUCAGAGACCCCCGAAGCUAGGGUUCAAAAAUUAGUCUCUACAAUCAGAUAGGAGGCACAAAACCUGAAACGGAGGCGAGGCAGAGUUUCUCUUUCUUCCGUUUCUGUUGAUUUCGCUGGCAAGCGUGAUUAUGUGGGAAUUGGGGUUGCCUGCUGCCAAGCUCGCAGGGUCGAUUCUGUGGCUUUGCGGGGCUACGGCUAGUACAGAGUCCAGGAGGGGCAAGAUGGCUCUGGAGCUAACGGCUGUACCUUCCAGAUCCCUGGACUGCAGCUAAGGUAAGUGUUCCUAGAGAAACGUUCCAGGGAGAGCUUCCAGCUUCCCAGCUUUUCUAAAUGCGGUCUAGGUAACGGUUCCUUUGGCGAGCCAGUGUUACAGACUCAUUCUGCAAUUAUUGCUGGAGGCCGGGCUUGCAUCCAAUUCUCCAUCUCUUUCAAGGAUUUUAUAAAGACCUAAUUCCCUGAUUUAAGUUAUUUCCUGCUUAAAAUAGAGCGUUUUCUGUUAUCUCUGACUGCAACUUGAUUGAUAACAGCAUGUGAGACAGUAGGCUAGAUAUUCAGCCUACUUGGGUUUGAAGGAAAUGAGGAUUGACUUACCAUGAAAUGAUGGAAUAAUCGUAGUUCGCGGCACCUGGAAUAAAGUGCCUAUAGAAAACAUAGCUUUGAGGCGCACCUGGGUGGCUCAGUCGUUUAAGCGUCUGACUCUUGAUUUUGGCUCGGGUCAUGAUCUCGGGGUCGUGGGAGCCCCGCUUCAGGCUCCACACUCAGCAGAGAGUCUGCUUAAGAGUCUCUCUCCUCCCCCCACCCCGCCUUUCCCCUUGCUUGAGUGUUCUUUCUCUCUCAAAUAAAUGAAUAAUAAAAUCUUUCCAUGAAAACCAGAUAGCUUUGAUAACUGAGAGAUAAGGGCCAUGGCACAGGGUAACAUGACAAACAGGGGAAAACUGGCUACUGAGAGAGAUUAAAAAAAGAAAUGAGAGAAAAAAAAAAGAAAUGAGAAAUUGAGGGCUUUAAAUUUUCUGCUCACUACAACGAAGGAACCAGGGAAUUUUUAGCCUUAAAAUAAUUUUCUCUUUUGUGGGUUGUUGGUAGCCAGAAAUCAAUCACACAGUCUGACCCUAUGGCCUCUCAAAUUACAGCAUAGGUUGAAUUCACAGACUUGCCAGAUUUCUUAUGUGAAACUGCAUUGCUUGGGAAAGAGGAAGGCUCUGAGAAUUGGAGAGUGUGUUCAGAGGUGAAUUCUUUGAGCUCAGUCUGAACCCAGCCACAUACGUGUGUAAGAAAUGGGAGGGAGAAUGAAUCAGAAGUCCUUCCGUACAGGAAGUUUUCACAGAUACGUUUGUAGCCUAACUACUACAAUAAGAAAAUGAAGACAAUGAAAAGAAAGCUACCGAAGAUUUGGGGGAGAACUGGAAAGAUUAGAGUUCUUUUGGGGUCUCAGAAUACAGCAUUCCUUACUGACAUCUGACCAGCUGCCAUGUCUCUCCUAACUCAUCCAGGAACUGUGGGCCAUGACUUAGGCUUUGCACUCUUCACUCCUUGACUGGAUCGUAUUUAUAUUCAUCAAGACUUAAAGUUAGCCUGAGGAAUGUGUAUUUUUUGCUUAAUCAAUGGGGUGGUUAAGAGGAGAGAAUUUCUAAUGGGUUGGAGGGUGACCGUGUUAAAUACAUCAAAGUCGCCGAAGGUGAUGGAGAGUGGAAAGACUCUUAGAAAAAGAAAAAGUCGGUUCUACUCCGUUUCCUCCCUGAGAAGAGCCUUGUGACUUAAAUUCAUGCACCUCUCCUCCCUUGGAGUUCUGUCCGUUGGAGUCAACUUCCAAGAAAUCUGAGAUCCAUACCUGUUGUACCGCUGGUUUCAGAGUCCCUCCACCCCUUGUUUUGGAUUUUUCCAAUCCGUUACCAGAGAGCUCAGUCCUGUCCCUUUUGUUGACAGGUUGCCGGGAUACCUCCAGGCUUCAAAGGCUGGGGUUCCUCUUCCCGGUAGCCCACCGCGCAAACUCUAAGAACUCCUGCGGGAGGGCAUGUGAAUCGUGGAGCUCCCAGCUCUUCUGCUCCUGUUUCCACCAGCCCCCUCCCUGAGGGGCUCAGCAGGCCAUGGUACAAGCUGAAGCAGAAGGGUGACAACAAAUAUUACCAGAUGCUGCUCCUGUCCUUCCCAAACCAAACCAUCUCCGGUUCCUAUUUGCUCUCACCUGGCCUUUUGUCACUCCCCUUAGAAUUGUUGAGGACCACAAGUACUACUGGCCAAGGGGCUAC